AAUGAACGCUGGCGGCGCGCCUAAUACAUGCAAGUCGAGCGAGAAGACGUAGCAAUACGUUUGUAAAGCGGCGAACGGGUGAGGAAUACAUGGGUAACCUACCCUCGAGUGGGGAAUAACUAGCCGAAAGGUUAGCUAAUACCGCGUACGCUUCUUGGACUUCGGUUCAGGGAGGAAAGCGAUGCCGAGGGUAUCGCGCUCUUGGAUGGGCUCAUGUCCUAUCAGCUUGUUGGNGAGGUAACGGCUCACCAAGGCUUCGACGGGUAGCUGGUCUGAGAGGACGAUCAGCCACACUGGCACUGCGACACGGGCCAGACUCCUACGGGAGGCAGCAGUAAGGAAUAUUGCGCAAUGGGCGAAAGCCUGACGCAGCGACGCCGCGUGGGGGAUGAAGGUCUUCGGAUUGUAAACCCCUUUCGGGAGGGAAGAUGGAA
rnacentral:rRNA from 1 species